UACAGAGGGUGCGAGCGUUAUUCGGAAUUACUGGGCUUAAAGCGCACGUAGGCGGCUUGGUAUGUCGGGUGUGAAAUCCCCGGGCUCAACCUGGGAACUGCAUCCGAAACUGCCUUGCUAGAGUAUGGGAGAGGGAAGUGGAAUUUCCGGUGUAGCGGUGAAAUGCGUAGAUAUCGGAAGGAACAUCAGUGGCGAAGGCGGGUCUCUGGACAGUUCCUGACGCUGAGGCACGAAGGCCAGGGGAGCAAACGGG
rnacentral:rRNA from 1 species